rnacentral:hammerhead_ribozyme from 1 species
ACCUAGCUGACGAGUCUGAAACUGGGUGAAACGAGCGUCCUGGAU